UUCACUCAAAACACAGAAGCCUAUAGAAGAUAGACACUAGAUGAGUAGAUGGGAAAAGCCAACUGACCGAACCACUAGAAAAAGCAUAUACAAUUCUCAUAAAGGAUGACAAUGGGGGCACACGUGGGACUCAUAUCGUUCUCUUCUUCCUUACCUUCUCUGCCUCGUCUUCCUCGUCUGUCCUCCACAAAGCACCGACCUUUAAUCAUGGCGGCAAUGAGUGAUGAUCCGGUUCGUAAAUGGAUUCUCACCGAAGGAAAUGCAACAGAGAUAAUAAGAAUUAGUCCUAUAGGCGGUGGUUGCAUCAAUCGUGCUAGUCGUUAUGACACUGAUGCUGGUUCUUUCUUUGUUAAAACAAACAGGAGCAUUGGACCAUCUAUGUUUGAGGGAGAGGCUCUUGGUUUAGAUGCCAUGUUUAGAACCCGAUCAAUUCGUGUUCCUAAGCCAUUCAAGGUUGGCCCUCUACCUACUGGUGGUUCUUACAUCAUUAUGGAGUUUAUUGACUUUGGUUUAUCCAGAGGUAAUCAGUCUGACCUAGGCAGGAAGCUUGCUGAGAUGCAUAAGACUGGAAAAUCUGAGAAAGGUUUUGGUUUUGAAGUUAACAAUACAAUAGGCAGCACUCCGCAGAUAAACACUUGGUCAUCAGAUUGGAUUCAGUUUUAUGGCGAGCAUAGACUGGGUUAUCAGUUGCAGCUGGCCGUGGACCGAUAUGGUGAUAGUACCAUUUAUGAAAAAGGACAAAGAUUAGUGAAGAGUAUGGGACCUCUCUUCGAUAAUAUAGUGAUUGAGCCAUGCCUGUUACAUGGGGACUUAUGGAGCGGAAAUAUCAGCUCUGACAAGAAAAGAGAACCAGUUAUACUUGACCCAGCAUGUUACUGCCGUGUUAUACAGAAACAGAGACAUAGAUGAAGUCAGACGAACAGAACCUUCAUGAGACACGCAAUUAACGCAAGAAGCAGAUGAUGAUGAAAGUGAAGAAGACUGGGGCUGAGCGGUAGGCAAUGACUGAAACUGAGAAGUGUGCUGACCUCGGGGUCCGGAGUUGCUUCCCUUUUUCGGACCAGAACCUCCCUUUUUUUUGUUACUAUGGUUUCUGGGGAACAUAGGUCACAGAUCUGGGUCGGGUACAAGGAAUUGUACCGACUGAGGCUGAAGAGUCCUGCAUUGCAUGUGCUAACAUGGUAGCUUCAUGUCUUCUCGACGAAUAAAGGCAUGCAUCACAGACGUUGGGAAGUGGUUUCUCCGCCAAGACUUGAUCUCGAAGAUGAUCUAGUCCAGGAUCAGACCUAUCAAGAAAUGAAACAGUUGCAACUUCCCUGGCUGUGAUCUUUCUCCAGUCAAAUAUCUAUCCCAACUGCCAUUUCCCUGUGACAUACAACUUCACAAAUUGACACCAAGCUGCAUAGUUUGUCCCAUCAAAUUUGUUUGGAAUGGACAUAAUGAGGCUGAAUUUGGAAUGUCGUGGUGUGCUGGUUUUGGUGGAUCUUUCUACAGUUCCUAUUUUGAGGUGAUGCCCAAGCAACCAGGGUUUGAGAAAAGGAAAGAUCUCUACAUGUUGUAUCAUUACUUG